UACGUAGGGUGCGAGCGUUGUCCGGAAUUAUUGGGCGUAAAGGGCGCGUAGGCGGCAUGUUAAGUCAGCUGUGAAAUCUCCGAGCUUAACUCGGAACUGUCAGCUGAUACUGAUGUGCUAGAGUGCAGAAGGGGCAAUCGGAAUUCUUGGUGUAGCGGUGAAAUGCGUAGAUAUCAAGAGGAACACCUGCGGCGAAGGCGGGUUGCUGGGCCGACACUGACGCUGAGGCGCGAAAGCUAGGGGAGCGAACGGG
rnacentral:rRNA from 1 species